rnacentral:rRNA from 1 species
UACGUAGGGUGCAAGCGUUGUCCGGAAUUAUUGGGCGUAAAGAGCUCGUAGGCGGUCUGUCGCGUCUGCUGUGAAAACUCAGGGCUUAACCCUGAGCUUGCAGUGGGUACGGGCAGACUAGAGUGCGGUAGGGGAGACUGGAAUUCCAGGUGUAGCGGUGAAAUGCGCAGAUAUCAGGAGGAACACCGGUGGCGAAGGCGGGUCUCUGGGCCGUAACUGACGCUGAGGAGCGAAAGCAUGGGGAGCGAACAGG